CCUCCGCGGUGGGGCGGGCCUCGUCUGCUCGUGGUGGGCGGGCUCCGGCGGUCUCAUCGUUCGUGGUGGG
rnacentral:tRNA from 1 species